UGAUUUUUUUGAUUUUCAAAAGAAAGGCAGACUGCCACGUGCAGCGCCUCAUUUGGAUGUGUCUGAAGUCUUGGAGCUCGACUUCCCUACGUUUCUCCUACAAAUGGGCCUUGAGCUUGUUUGGAGGUUCUAGCAGGGGAGAGCAGCUACUUCUAUACCAACGAUGCUCGUCCGCCGGGGGCACUCGUCCUCUUCCACCGAGCGCAGAGCUUCGGGAGGGACACACAUGGAGCGGUGAGGGAGGAAGGGGACACCCGCCUAGCCAGCCAGAUCAGCCGAAUCAACACUAGCGAUCAAUGGGGUGACAGAUGUCGCAGCCAGAUCGCCCUCACAUCCGAGAAUAGAAGCUGGGUCACAGAGAAUAUAUACGGCUGUGAGGAGCAUGCUUUCGCUUCGACGAUAUCAAUCCAGAGAGUGGAACAAGAAGAAGCGUCAUCUAAAAUGCCAGGAUACAGAAGAAACAGGUUGCAGUGAACCCACAUGUCGCCGCUCUUCUAAAUACAAUGAUGAAUAUUCAGUGUAAUCGAUGAAAAUUCCAGCUACUUGUUGUGCUCUGAUGGAUCAAGAUGGUGACCGUUUUACAGACUCACUUGGGCCUUGUUUUGCAAUGUUGUUUCAUGAUGGUAAUGUUGCUUAACGUGUUGUUUAAACAUGAAUGUUUAAAGAGCCAUGUUGGAUACUAUGAAGUUGUUACUGA